CCCAGCUCCUACUCAGGAUGGAGUUGCUCUGGUUCACAUGCCUCUGAGAGAAGCAUGUGUGCCCACUUUGACCAAAUCUGUCAGGGGCACCUGCACCGUCUAGCCCUGCCAGCCACUGGCCUGCUCCCAUGGUGGGUUCCCUCCCAAAGCCCCUGAGCGCUUCCUCUCUUCACCUGCUUCCCACCCACACACGCUCGGUGCUCCAGCCACAGGCACCCCGCCCAGAUUCCUCCCCAUCUCCAUACCUUCAGCCAUGCCUGGCAUGCUGGCACCCUCCUGCCUCCCCCACCCCAACCCAGCCACCUGCAAACUCCUCCAAGCUCCAGCUCAAGCCUUUACUGCCCUAGGAAGCUUGCCCUGGGAGGCUCAGACAGAAAAGACGCAACCAGCUUACUAUUCAGUGAGCCUCUCUCCCUAGCAGGGAAGUGAGGAAGCCCCUGCCACUGAGACCCGACGAUCCUGCCCGGCAGGGCUGCCAGUCUCCAGCGCACUGUGGCACUCAUACUGAGGACAGGGUCAUGCCCCUGGUAAUUAUGACUUCACAUCUAUUUAACCGUGUGCCAGGCACUGUGCUAGGAGCCUUGCUCAACUCAUCCAAUCCUCAGCCUCAGCCUAGAACUCAGACACUCCCGUUAUCCAGGGCACAGAGUAGGCAAAGCCACAAGGCUGCUGCUGCAAAGGAGGAUGGCACGGGCAAACACAGGCUGGGAUGGGUGAAAGGGUCUCUUAAGGAAAUGAGGUGCAGUCGGGCCUGGAAGAGCAGCAGAAUGUGUGUCCGGCCCUGCCACACGCCUGGAUCCCAGAGCAAGAUGGAGCCAGCAGCCACCCCUGUCUGCCACCCUGGCCUUCUCUCCAGGACUCCUGGCUUCCCCCUCGAUUACCCCUGCCUGACACCCUAUGCUAGCAACCAGAGACUGUUUCUGCCUGGCUGCCCCCAGCUCCUUGAACAUGCAGCCUGGGUUCCAGAGGGAGGUCAUACGGCCUGUCAGAGACCACCAGGGAAGCAUCACAGAUCGCAGCCAGCGGGCGAGCUCAGCUGGGGGUUUGCACCAAGCAUGGCUCCAGAGUGAGGCCUGGCUGAUGCAGGCUGGGACCACCCUGCAUGGACCAGCAGUGUGGAAAUGGCCAUCACAACCACCAUGCUCAGACCUUAGACACCGGCUUCUCUGCGCCUGGGGAUGGUGGAGCCGGGGAGCUGCCGCGGGCCUGAGGGAGGAUGCGAAGCUCCAGGCUGCCCCCUGCUGCCUCCGGAGUGUGCUGCAGUCUUGGCCAAUGUGGACUUGAACACAACCUGCUCCGAUCUUCAGAAAUAUUACCCACGAGACCUGCUUUCUCCCAAAAUGCAUUCGGCUGCCCACCCAUGGGAUGUUACAGAAUAAAGAUAAUAAAGCUAUGCUCCAGAUCAUGUUCCCAAUGCCAAAAAUCUCCCCAACUCCCAGAAUCUAGAGUCUUUGAAAUAUAGACCAUGGAGUAUCUUUUUGAUAAUGGAAGUAAAACUGUUUAUGUAAAAUGCUUUUUCUCUGCAAAUAACAACUCAAGAAGAGACCAGGAACUAUAGUCAGAAGGGAUUCUCGUCCUGGGGGGACAUUUCUUGCCUGCGUGGUCUAGGUGGGUUGUGGUCUUCCAGUUUCUGCCCCUAAAUCCAUAUGUGAUCGGCUCCACCUCACAAGGCUGUCAUAAUACUUCACAAGAGAAAUACAAGAAAGCACGCUUUUAAAGCCGUGUGCACAGCUGCUGGUUUUAAUAUCAUUAUCUUUCAGGGAAUUUUUAACUCGUCUCCCAGAGGCUCGAUUGGAUUGAAAAUGUAAGGUCUAUUUAAUGAAAACUAUCAAGGAAGUUCCUGGGGAAAAACUUAGGAGUCGUCAAGCAUUAGGCAAGCCCCAGCUAUGCAGUUUGAAUAAAGCACAGACUGCAGAAGCCGCACGAGCGAAUCCCAGGCCAGGCCUGUCACUCACUGCCAUGUCCCUGGACAACACACUAAGUCUCUUGAAGCCUCUCUUUUCUUGUCCAUAAAAUGGAAUUCACUGUUCACUGAAUGAGAUGAGGUGAGGACUGGAAAUCAUGCCUGGUGUACAGUGAGGGCUGAAUACAAGGUUCGUUCUUUUCUUUUUUUUCUUUUCUUUUCUUUUCUUUUUUUUUUUUUUUUUUUGAGACAGAGUCUGGCUCUGUCACUCAGGCUGGAGUACACUGGCACGAUCUUGCCAACUUUGCACCUCACCUUUGGUUUCAAGUGAUUCUCCUGCCGCUGCCUGAGCUGGGAUCACAGGCUUAUGCCACCAUGCCUGGCUAAUUUUUGUAUUUUUAGCUAAGACAUGGUUUUGCCUGUGG
rnacentral:lncRNA from 1 species